AUGCAUAACAUCCUAGUGAAAACAUACAAAAAGAGGUGCGCGAACGCGAUAAGAUCCGAAGAACCCUAUACUACAGAACGAAAUAAAAGCUGCAAAUUGUUAAAUAAAUUGGACUCAGCACUUGUCGGCGAGCUCACCGGAGGGCGGGAAUGCCAGCGAGACGAUGGACGAGGCGUACUACGACAAGCCGGUGCCACCGCCCUCGCUGGUCCAUGUCAGCAUCACCUGGAACAGGCGCUGGCGCGCUAUGACACUGUAAUGGUGGAAGACCUACAGGCGAAAGAGCAAAUCACGGGCGAACAGGAGAACAAGAAGAGUGCCUUGUCCAUGGUCGUGGAGGACCUGGGCUUUCUGGAUGAGCAGUGGGCGCGGCACAAGUCCAUGCGCAGCGCUUGCGACAUCCGGCACGAGCGAUGGCGGUUGCACGUCCUGCGCGGGCGGAGAGACACGCCAUGUUCGCAGACAUCGAUGUGGCAGUGGAGGAACAGGAGGCACAAGCAACCACGGACGUCGUCAACUGUGCGUCGCUGGCGCAACCACCGCCGUAGUUCGUGCCCGCCGCCACGACCACGAGGUCGGCCCAUCUACGACCGGCGCCGUCGACACGACGGACUUCAGCGAGGAAGAAUGGACAUGGGACGGCACCACGGCUUGUGUAACAGGAGGGCCACCCCCACGUUUUAA
rnacentral:rRNA from 1 species